CACGUAGGGCGCAAGCGUUGUCCGGAAUUAUUGGGCGUAAAGAGCUCGUAGGCGGUCUGUUACGUCUGCUGUGAAAACCCGGGGCUUAACCCUGGGCUUGCAGUGGAUACGGGCAGACUAGAGGCAGGUAGGGGUCGAGGGAACUUCUGGUGGAGCGGUGAAAUGCGUUGAUAUCAGAAGGAACGCCGGUGGCGAAAGCGCUCGACUGGAUCUCUUCUGACGCUGAGGCGCGAAAGCUAGGGGAGCAAACGGG
rnacentral:rRNA from 1 species